rnacentral:rRNA from 1 species
CGAAGCGAGGCAGCGAUGUGAAGCAAAUCGCACCAAAGCCGGUCCCAGUUCGGAUAAGAGGCUGAAACUCGCCUCUUUGAAGUCGGAAUCGCUAGUAAUCGCAGAUCAGCAUGUUGCGGUGAAUACGUUUCCUGGUCUUGUACACACCGCCCGUCAAACCAUGAGAGUCGCCAACACCCGAAGUCCGCUUUGCGGCCUAAGGUGGGGGAGAUGAUUGGGGUUAAGUCGUAACAAGGUAUC